GAUUUCCUGGCUCAGGAUGAACGCUAGCUACAGGCUUAACACAUGCAAGUCGAGGGGCAGCAUGGUCUUAGCUUGCUAAGGCCGAUGGCGACCGGCGCACGGGUGAGUAACACGUAUCCAACCUGCCGUCUACUCUUGGACAGCCUUCUGAAAGGAAGAUUAAUACAAGAUGGCAUCAUGAGUCCGCAUGUUCACAUGAUUAAAGGUAUUCCGGUAGACGAUGGGGA
rnacentral:rRNA from 1 species